rnacentral:rRNA from 1 species
GAUGAAUGCUGGCGGCGUGCCUAACACAUGCAAGUCGAGCGGCAGCGCGGGUAGUUUACUACCUGGCGGCGAGCGGCGGACGGCUGAGUAACGCGUGGGAACGUACCCCAAAGUGAGGAAUAACAGCCCGAAAGGGUGGCUAAUGCCGCAUAUGCUCUUCGGAGUAAAGCUUUAUGCGCUUUGGGAGCGGCCCGCGUCGGAUUAGGUUGUUGGUGAGGUAAUGGCUCACCAAGCCGACGAUCCGUAGCUGGUCUUAGAGGAUGAUCAGCCAGACUGGAACUGAGACACGGUCCAGACUCCUACGGGAGGCAGCAGUGAGGAAUCUUCCACAAUGGGCGAAAGCCUGAUGGAGCAACGCCGCGUGCAGGAUGAAGGCCUUCGGGUUGUAAACUGCUUUUAUAAGUGAAGAAUAUGACGGUAACUUAUGAAUAAGCACCGGCUAACUACGUGCCAGCCGCCGCGGUAA